CGAGUCAGCCGGGCAAUCGCUGUUCGCGUCCCUGGACGCGGGCGGAGGAAAGUCCGGGCUCCAAAGAGCAGGGCGCCAGGUAACGCCUGGGGGGCGCGAGCCUACGGCAAGUGCAACAGAAAGCAUACCGCCAGACAGCCGUCUGGUAAGGGUGAAAUGGUGCGGUAAGAGCGCACCGCGCGGCUGGUAACAGUCCGUGGCAAGGUAAACCCCGCCCGGAGCAAGGCCAAAUAGGAAUCCCAUGGUGUCGCUCGCACCGGAUUCGGGUAGGCCGCUACAGGUCCGCGGUGACGCGGGCCGCAGAUGAAUGAUUGCCCUCGACAGAACCCGGCUUACAGGCUGACUCGGCCU
rnacentral:RNase_P_RNA from 1 species